rnacentral:tRNA from 1 species
GCGGUUGUCGUCCAGCCUGGUCUAGGACUUCGGCUUUCCAAGCCGGCAACUCGGGUUCAAAUCCCGGCGACCGCA